GCAUUUGUAAUAGAUUAAGAAUUUGGAUGAAUGAAAUAGAAAAUGCAAAAAUGUAGAAUUUUGUUUCUUGUGUUUUUUUGUGAUAGAAUGCAUGAAUAUUUGGAGCAUUCAAGUGGGACUUGAUCUAUCUUACUUGUGGAGUGCUUUGAAGAUCAAGGUUGAUGGGAGUUUCUAACUUUUUUCGAUCCUUGGUUCCUUAGAUCAUCUAAGUAAUCUGAAUCUAGCCUAUCUUAGGGGUUGAGAUCAAAUCAGUUUUGGAACUAUUGGGGUUGAGUUCUUUAGGUCUUGUUGUUCAACAUGGUUCUUAGAUCUGAUGCUUGGGGGUCUCAUAUCAUUUGGUAUAAGAGUGUUGGCUCUAGAUCAGGUAUAUCUUUCCAUUGUUGCAAUAGCUUUCUUAUUCUUCUAUUUCAAUUUUUUUUCUAGUCAUCUUGUCACCUUCUGUCCAUUAGAUAAAAACUAAGGAAAAAAAAGUGACAAUUCUUAUUUUCAUUUUAUAUUUUUGUCUUCUUCAAAGUUUUAGAUCUGAGUGUCAUCUACAAAAUUGCUUUCUUCAAGAUCUUCCAAUUUGGUUUCCUUCCAUGUCAAAUGUUCUCGUUUUGAAAAUCUGUAAAAAAAAUUGUGCAAUUCGAGAGAUUUUUUGUUGAACAUUGUUGUUCAUGGAUUCAAGUAUAAGAAGACAACCACCAAUAGCUGCAUUCAAAAGAGAUUCUUUAAAUUCAAGGACGAAUCUUCUUGAAGAAGAGGAGAAUGAUACGAACCAAGAAAUCACAUUUUCAUUAAAUGAACUUGAAGAUGAUAUGAAUCAGAAUAAUUAAGUUUCCAUGCAAAUUUUAGAUAUUUUUAAUUAAUUUUCAGCAAUUUAGAAUUUAAUUCAAGUAUUUAAAUUAUGGACAUUGAGUUUAAAGAUAGAUAUUGAAAAGAUGAUGGUUAUUUUAAUGAAGAUGCAUUGAAGAUGAAGACUAGUCAAAGAUGGUAGCUACCAUUAAUAGAUUGUGCUUUAAAGAUGGUGGUUGGAAGAUAAUUGUUGGAAGAUGAAGAACUUCUUUAGUGUUUUAUUUUUACUUUACGUACUUACAUUAAAUAUAGUAGAAUCUAUACAAGGCUAUAUAAAGUCUUCUAUGACAUUUGUAAUAGAUUAAGAAUUUGGAUGAAUGAAAAAGAAAAUUCAAAAUUAUAGAAUUUUGUUUCUUGUGAGUUUUUGUGAUAGAAUACAUGAAUAUUUGGAGCAUUCAAGUGAGGCUUGAUUUGUCUUGCGCUUGGAGUUCUUUAAAGAUCUUAGGUUGAUGAGAGUUUCUUCCUUUGUUUGAUCUUUGAUUCAUUAGAUCACCUAAGUAAUCUGAAUGUAGCCUAUCUUAGGGGAUUAGAUCAAAUCGGUUUUGGGGCUAUUGGGAUUGAAUUCUUUGGGUCUUGUUGUUCAAUAUGCUUCUUAGAUCUGAUGCCUAGGGGUCUCAUAUCAUUGAUGAUAUGAAUCGAGACCGAUAAGUUGAAUUAGUGUGAGGUUUUUAAAGUAUGUAUAUUUUCGAUGUUAAUUCCCCCAAAAUUGUGUUGAUUAUUAGCUUUAAUUGCUAAUUUUGUAGGAUUAAACGAUACCCGAAGCAUUUUGGAGUUAUUACAAGAAAAUUGUGCCAAAAAGAUAAAAAUGACCAAGAAAAUCAACAAAUUGAAGAGAAUCGAGUAAACACCCUAGAGUGCAUCGAGUAAGGCUGUUAGAUCAUCAACCAUCGAGUAUUUAACAGAAUACUGUCAAAUAGCAUCGAAUAAAGAAUAUCGAGUUUUCAACCAUCUUCCAUUGAGUCAUCGAGUUUCUUCUAAUUCAUUUUCCAUCGAGUUAGAAUGAUCGAGUAAAGAGCAUUCUGAACGUCGAGGAUCGUGUAUUGAUCGUUGAGUGUCGAGGAGCGAGUACUAAACAGAAAAAUUCAUUGCCUUCGUUCUUCUUUUCGAAUUUUGACGCGAUCCAUCCAUGUGCUUCGUGACGAUUUCUUGCUGGUAUAAAUGAGUUCAGUUCUUUAGAGUGAGGGAGAUAGAUAUCAUUUUUUUUUUAGAAAAUCCACCAUUCUCUUGAGAGAAAAAAACUUAGAAGAAGAAAAAACCCAUUUUUUUUAUAGAGAGAUUCCGAUUUUCAAGAGUGAUUCUUGUAAUUUUCUAUGAGAUUGAGUCGAUUUAUACUCAGAUUUGUAUCAAUAUGCAACUAUCAAUGGAAUGCUUAAAAAACUUCAACUUCCGUGAGUAGGUAAAUCUUUUUCUUGGGGUACUAUGUAAUUAGGCAUUUCUUGAGACUUUUCUUGAAUUUUCUUUCAUGUAAUUACUUUCUUUUGUAUGUUCUUGCUAAGAUUUAAAAUAAAAUUGAUUAAGAUUGAAUUGACGAAUCGAGAUUAAUCCAUUUUUAUAUGCAAAAAUUAUAUGGUUCUAUAACAAAAUUGUAAUUGUAGUUGUAAGAAUUAGUAGUCUUGAUAGAAAAUGUGGACUUUUUUUCCUCCUUUCUUUAAAGAAUCUAUUAAUUCAGAACAUUCAUGUAAUCGAUCUUGAUUUUUCAGUCUUUUGAUUUCAAAAUUGGAAUAGUUAAGAAAACCCAUGAGUUUAAUGUAAUUUAGGGAUUAGUUGUGAAAUGUCUUUAGGAAGUAAUUAAGACCUAAAUUAGGGCUAAUUGUGAAAUUAGCUAAUUAGGGCAUUAGGAAUUUAUUCUUAAUGAACUAUUGAAUAAUCUAAUUGCAUGAUUUCUUAUCAAGUCAAUGAUAGAAUUUCCUAGUUAUAUAAAAUCCCUAAGAUUUUAUUUCCAUUUAAUUUUAUCUCACAAUCUCUUCUUUAUUUCUCUCACUAAUAAAUUUCCUAUAUCAAUUCUUGUCUUUUGCUUAGUUGGUUUCUUUUAGUUCUUAAACAAACAAAUCCCCCAUUUAAUCUUUUGCAUUUAGGAAUUCAAUAGUCAAUUUUUGGGCCAAUUAUUUGCGGUUCUCUUGGGAUCGACCUCUUACUUCCACUAUUACUACGUGUUAGUUCUAGUUGUAGUUAGAGUUUAAAUAAAUUUCAUUCAUUUUGGGUAGAUAGAAUUAACGACACUUACUUUACACCGAACAAUCAGUAAAGUAUAGUUGUUUUUAAUUAAUUUUUAGCAUUUUAGUUUUAGAGUUAUUUGUUGCCUUUACUUAAUUUCUAGCUUUUAAAUGUUAAAUUUAAGUCUUGGUAAUUAUGGAGAUGCAUAGAAGAUGGUGGUUGGAAAGAUGGAGGUUGUCAUUAAUGAUGUUACAUUAAAGAUGGUGGUUGGAAGAUGGUAUUUGGAAGAUAACUCUUUAAUGUUUUAUGUUGACUUUUGCUACUUUAUAUUAAUUGUAUUAGAAUCUCUACAAGGCUAUAUAAAGCCUUCUCCCCACCCAUCUGUAAUUAGAUUAAAAAGAUUGGGAUUUUUGUGAAUGAAAUUUGAGAUCUCAUAUUUGAGACUUUUCCAUUAUAAUUUUACACUUUUUGUUAUAGAAUGCAUGUGAGCCCUCAAUCUAGAACAAGAUUUUCCAAUCUUGCUUCUAAAUCUUCGAUCAAGAAAUAAUCUAAUUCUAGCCUUUCUCUCGGGAUUGAACUAAAUCGUAUAGGGAAGUGUUAAUUUCUUAGAUUCAAAGGUUCUUGCUACAUAAUAGCUUGGGUCUUUGAGCUGAGGGUUAGAGUUGCCUUAUCAUUUGGUAUCAUUGCAGAAGUUUCAUUUUUUUAUGUCCCACUCUAGAAUUGAUUCUAUCUUUCUUCGUUGUUUUUGCAUUUUUAUUCAAAUUUUCAAUUUUGUUCAUUUAGUUCUUUUUUUUUUUUUCAUCCAUUGUUCUUCUUCUUUCUUUAUCUUAUUUUAAUCUUAUUGAUCAAAUUUAGAUCUUUGAAAGAAAAAAAGUUAAAAAAAAGCAAAAAAAGCAAAACAUAAGCCAAAAAUAAGUGAAAAAAACCAGAAUUUGUUCUUGCAAUUAUUCAUGCAAAUUGUGUGCUUAAUCUUGGAUAUUUGAACCAAUUUGACAUGAUUAAGUUAUUAUAUUAACUAUUUCUAUCUUUUGUCAUUCCCUAGAUCAAUUGCAUGUUCAUUUGAGUGUCUUUUCAGCUUUCUGUCAUUAAAUGCUGAAACUAAUUCAAAUAUGAAAUUGUUGACCUUUCUUCUUGUUUUUAAUUUUCUUUCUGAACGUAAACGGCCAAAUUUGACUCUGGGUCAUUCAACAAAGUUUUAGACCAGCCUUGUAUCUUGAAUUGUUAAUAAGAGAAUUUCGUCAAAUUCAUUGCAUAAUGCCCUUAUAUUUGCAAUUCCAUUUCUGUGUCAGUUUUAUUCGAAAACUACUUUGUAUUUUUCCUUAUUUGUUUGAGUUUUUUAUUGUUUUCUUAUUCUUUUUGAGCUUAUUUCAUAAAUAUCUUGUCUUGCUUAUAUUGAAUAGCUCUCUAUUUCAAGAAUUGCUUAUUUCACAUAAGUCUACCAAAUACAUAAUUUAACCACUUUCCCAAAUAGCCUACCUUUUUGUGCGUGAGUGUUCUUGAGUGAACAAUUCGUAAAUUUUGAGAUCUAUUCCUUUUCAUUUAAGAUCAUGUUUCAUCAAGAAAGAAAUUGCCAUGAGAGGUACAAUAGCAAUGAAAGUUUUUGGAAGACUUUUGACAAUAGUUUGGUUGAGUUACAUCAAGUGGUUGAUUGCCUAUCUAAAUUGACUCAAGAAUUGAAUCUACGAGAUCAAAAUUUCAAAAAGGUCAGUCUAUCUACUAAAAGUAUGCCCAUUGUGUUUGUAGAUAGUGAUAAAGUUUAAGAUGACAUACCUUGUGAAAAACUAGAUGAUUUUAUUGAACACCUAAUAUUGAAGUCCAUGUUGAUGUGUUUGAGUUAGAGGAAAAGACAGAAAAGGCCAAAUCAAAAGCAUAUAGAUUGAUUUAAAAAUAAUCUCGUGAGAAAAGGAGUGAAAAAGAAAAGAUGAGGUUAGUUUAUGGCCUAGAGAGGAAAAUGAGAGAAAAGUUGAAAAGAUGAGCUUAUUUAAGAGAGCUAGUGAGGUUAAAUUUAUUUUUCUCCAAAACAAAAUAUUUUUUAUCUUCUAUACAAAAAAAAAAAAAAAAAAAAAAAAAAAAACUUGUUUUCUAAUGGUUGAGCUCAAGCCAUGUUUUUCUAGUGUUUCUUUUGAGUUCUUACAGGAGGCCAAAGCACUUAUAAAGAUGCUUGAUUUGAAGAUUGCUUCAAAUGUCAACAAUGAAAUACAACAUAUACACUUUAAGGUCAAAUCAUUUAUUUAAAGGCACAACUCCAAAUUUGCUUCAAAAUUCGAGCAUGCUAGCAAGCAUAAAGUGUUUAAAGUGAGGAACUGGGUGUGGAGACACUUUUGGAAAUAUCGUUGUUGUUUUCCGAAGAAACCCAAGUGUAAGUCCAUCGACGACUUGCAUAUGAAAUUCCAUGACUACAAGAUUACUCUACAAGGUGACGGAGAUGUAAAUUAGUUUUUGAAUUCCGUUGAGUUUAGUCCAUUCGAUGUAGGAGAUAUUUUUAGAUUCGAGGACGAAUCCUUUUGAAGAGGGGAAAGAUGAUAUGGAUCGGGAUCGAUGAGUUGCAUUAGUAAACUUUAGUUAUUUUUAAUUAAUUUCCAACAUUUUAAUUUUAGAGUUAUUUGUUGUCUUUAAUUAAUUUCUAGCUUUUAAGUGUUAAAUUUAAGUCUUGUAAUUAUGGAGAUGUAUGGAAUAUGGUGGUAGAGAGGAUGGAGGUUAUCAUCAAUGAUGUUACAUUCAAGAUAGUGGUUGGAAGAUGGUGAAUUGAAGAUUGUGGUUGGAAGAUGAAGAACUCUUUAAUGUUCUUUUGUUGACUUUUGCUACUUUACAUUAAUUGUAUUAGAAUCUCUACAAGGCUAUAUAAAGCCUUCUCCCCAUCCAUCUAUAAUCAGAUUAAAAAGAUUAUGACUUUUAUGAAUGAAAUUUGUGAUAUCAUAUUUGAGAUUUGUUUCUUAGAAUUUUACAAUUCUUGUGAUAGAAUGCAUGUGAGUCAUUCAAUUUAACCUUGACCAAGUUGAUUAUGGAGUGACUCUUAUUUAGAACAAGAUUUCCCAAUCUUGCUUCUAUAUCUUCAAUCAAGAGGUAAUCUAAUUCUAGUCUUUUUCUCCAGGUUGAACUAAAUUGUGCAUGGAGGUGUUAAUUUCUUAGAUUCCAAGGUUCUUGCUACAUAAAAGCUUGGGUCUUUGGGCUGAGGGUUAAGGUUGCCUUAUUACUUGUUUUCCUGUUUAAUAAAGCUUCAACAACAAACUUCUCUUUUCGGGUGUCCAAAUGAAAUUGGCUUCAGUAUAACAAUAGCUAACUAAAAACUCGUUAAACCCAAUCCUUGAGAAAGAUACCCUAGUCAAGAUUUUAUUACUUCGAUAUGUAAGCUUGCAUGCUGCUGUCAAUCAUGGAGUCAUUACGUGAGAUGUUUGUGCAACUUUCCACACAUCUAGAGCAUGACACCCUCAACUUCAUCUUCAAUGCUAGAAUGAACGAGGGAUCGUUUGUUAGGGAACAUGCCAUAAUAUGAUAAUCCAAUUCAAUGUGGCCGAGAUGAAUGAGGUUUUCAUAGAUGAGUCUAGUCAUGUAAGCUUUAUUCUGGAGACUCUUCCAAAGAGUUUCCUACUGUUCCACAACAAUGCUAUAAUGAGCAAAAUCGAAUAUAACCUUACCACCCUUCUAAAAGAAUUGUAGACUUACGAGUCCUUGAUGAAAGUCAAAGGAAACAAUGGGGAGGAAAAUGUUGCUAGUUCCUCAAAAAAUUUCCAUAAGGGUUCUACCUCUAAGACUAAGUUUGCGCCUUCUUCCUCAGGCUCUAAGAAGUGGAAGAAGAAGAAAGGUGGUAAGGGGAAGAACAAAACUACCCCACUUGCUACUUCCCAAAAGGGCAAAAAGGUCAAGGUUACAAAGGGAACCUAUUUUCAUCGCAACCAAGAUGGGCAGUGGAAACAAAAUUACCUAGAGUACUUGGCCGACAAGAAGAAGGAAAAAGAAGGAAACUUGUUCCAAGCAGCAACUAGAGGCUGGAGACAUGACUUUGUAGGUUGGAACGGUCACAAACUACUCAGAAUUAACAGUAAAGUACAGUUCAAGACUCAGGGAAGGCUGCAUGCUUCAAGCUUCAAAACUCUUCAAUUGUUUACCUGAAUGCAGCUUUCGUGUAGACGAAGCUCUAAAGAACUAGACAAUAGCUCAAUUAUGUAACGAUAGUACGAAGCACUAGACGAUCGUGUAGACAAUAGUUGAGUAGAGCUAAACGAUCGAAUAGAUGACAGCUGAGGAACUAGACGGUCGUAUAGACGAUGAGAUGCGGAGCUAAACGAUCGUAUAAACUAUGCAAUAGGAACUAAAUGAUCCUGUACACGACACUUGAGUAAAUGUUAGAUGAUUGUAGAGAAAGAAAGAAAGAAGGAACACAAGUAUUUAACUAGUUCGGCCAAAGGCCUACAUCCACUGUGCAAAUCGGCAUAGUUUCUUUUAUUACUUCUUCUUUAAACUUCUUAUAGAAUAAAUGCCUUGCUCUCACUCUCUCAUUCUCAUUAUUCUCUCAUUCGUUUUCUUUCUAUACAGGCACUCAAUAUCAACAAAGAAGCUCUGGUGAUUACAAUAAACAUAAUAGAAAGAAGUCGACAACAUUCAACUGCUUGCAACUCCAUUUCCUGUCUUCUGUUCUUUCUGUAACUCAAACUCGAGGAGGUCCAAGCAUCGACCAAGCUUGCUUAAUGGGACUGUCUUGGUCAACAUAUCAACUUCAUUGUCUGAGGCACUCAUUGUCAACGAAGAAGCUCUGGUGGUUACAACAAACAUAACAGAAAGAAGUCAACAACAUUCAACUGCGUGCAACUCCAUUUCUUGUCUUCGGUUCUUGCUGUAACAAGGAAGUUGAUUUCACUUUCAUGUUUAUUGGAACAAAAUUAUAAUAUCUCUUUUAUUUGUGAUAAAGCGUUUAUCUCAAAGAAUGGUAUUCAUAUCUAUUCAGUAAUAAA